rnacentral:lncRNA from 1 species
CAUAAUUCCUCGGAUUUAUGUAUUUAUGCUCAAACUGUUUCCAUCCAUGUUUCAUUUAUUCUUACAACCUCCAAGCAAAAGAGAUAAGGACAGAUAUUAUCAUUGUCAUUUUUCCGAAGAGGAAAUGGAUUGAGAAGUGAUGUGAACCUGCUCAACUGCAAAUGGUAUCCCAAUAUCCGAGUUGAUGCUCCAGCCACUAGAACGGUGUAACCUGCCCUUCUAGCCUCACCCCAUCUUCAAUGUACUGGCUGAUCCUGCUCCUACUUUCAGAUCUUUCUCUCUGAUGGGCUACUUGUUGCUCUUCGGUGCUCCAUGAGAAUAAGAAGCAAUAAGAACAAAAGUCACCUAUUCCUCAAUAGCUGGCAUAAGAAGUCAUAUAUUAGGGCAGGAUACUAUAACAGCAAUAACUGCUGUUAUUAAAUGCCCAUUACAUGCCAAGCCCUAUAUGGUCAGAUAACUUACACCGAAAGCAACUCAAGGAAUAAAUUCUGCUAAAAAGCACACCCUUGACACAGCAGAUCUGCUAGAAAGAGGGAGAUGAUUUCAAAAGGAGAAACUUCCUGUGAUAGCAAAUGGAGCUGCCAGCGUAGUCUUUGAACUCUCCUUCACCAUCAGCCAACGAAAGACUUCAGUUAUUCUUCACUAAAAAUGACAGUCUGCAAGUAUUUUGGACCUCCAGGUCGAGGCUAAGUUGGCAAGAACUAAAUGGAGAGAAAACCAUUUUACAGGGUCACUGCUAAAUCCAGAAUCACGGGAUUUCUGAAGAAACUGUAUAUGGGUGACUAAAUCAAA